rnacentral:rRNA from 1 species
UACGUAGGGGGCUAGCGUUGUCCGGAAUCAUUGGGCGUAAAGAGCGUGUAGGCGGCCCGGUAAGUCCGCUGUGAAAGUCGGGGGCUCAACCCUCGAAUGCCGGUGGAUACUGUCGGGCUAGAGUGCGGAAGAGGCGAGUGGAAUUCCUGGUGUAGCGGUGAAAUGCGCAGAUAUCAGGAGGAACACCAAGUGCGAAGGCAGCUCGCUGGGACGUAACUGACGCUGAGACGCGAAAGCGUGGGGAGCAAACAGG